rnacentral:rRNA from 1 species
UACGGGAGGGUGCAAGCGUUAUCCGGAUUUACUGGGUUUAAAGGGUGCGCAGGCGGAUAUGUAAGUCAGUGGUGAAAUCUCUGGGCUUAACCCGGAAAUUGCCAUUGAUACUAUAUAUCUUGAAUGCUGUGGAGGUAAGCGGAAGUAUGUCAUGUAGCGGUGAAAUGCUUAGAUAUGACAUAGAACACCUAUUGCGAAGGCAGCUUACUACGCA